ACAUCCAGCGAACUUGGCAGAGAUUGCCUUGGUGCCUUCGGGAACGCUGAGACAGGUGCUGCAUGGCUGUCGUCAGCUCGUGUUGUGAAAUUGUUGGGUUAAGUCCCGNAACGAGCGCAACCCUUAUCCUUUGUUGCCAGCGAUUCGGUCGGGAACUCAAAGGAGACUGCCGGUGAUAAACCGGAGGAAGGUGGGGAUGACGUCAAGUCAUCAUGGCCCUUACGAGUAGGGCUACACACGUGCUACAAUGGCGCAUACAAAGAGAAGCGACCUCGCGAGAGCAAGCGGACCUCAUAAAGUGCGUCGUAGUCCGGAUCGGAGUCUGCAACUCGACUCCGUGAAGUCGGAAUCGCUAGUAAUCGUGGAUCAGAAUGCCACGGUGAAUACGUUCCCGGGCCUUGUACACACCGCCCGUCACACCAUGGGAGUGGGUUGCAAAAGAAGUAGGUAGCUUAACCUUCGGGAGGGCGCUUACCACUUUGUGAUUCAUGACUGGGGUGAAGUCGUAACAAGGUAGGCGUAGCGAG
rnacentral:rRNA from 1 species